GAGGAAUAUUGCGCAAUGGGGGCAACCCUGACGCAGCAACGCCGCGUGAGUGAGGAAGGUUUUCGGACCGUAAAGCUCUGUCGAGCGGGAAGAAAUGCAUGGUGGCUAAUAUCCAUCAUGCUUGACGGUACCGCUAAAGGAAGCACCGGCUAACUCCGUGCCAGCAGCCGCGGUAAUACGGGGGGUGCGAGCGUUGUUCGGAAUUAUUGGGCGUAAAGAGCGUGUAGGCGGCCGAAUAAGUCAGAUGUGAAAUCCCUGGGCUUAACCCAGGACGUGCAUUUGAAACUAUUCGGCUUGAGUAGGGGAGAGGAAAGUGGAAUUCCUGGUGUAGAGGUGAAAUUCGUAGAUAUCAGGAGGAACACCGGUGGCGAAGGCGACUUUCUGGCCCUAUACUGACGCUGAGACGCGAGAGCGUGGGUAGCAAAC
rnacentral:rRNA from 1 species